CAUCAUAAUUUUUAUGGAGAGUUUGAUCCUGGCUCAGGAUGAACGCUGGCGGCGUGCCUAAUACAUGCAAGUCGAGCGAACGGACGAGAAGCUUGCUUCUCUGAUGUUAGCGGCGGACGGGUGAGUAACACGUGGAUAACCUACCUAUAAGACUGGGAUAACUUCGGGAAACCGGAGCUAAUACCGGAUAAUAUUUUGAACCGCAUGGUUCAAAAGUGAAAGACGGUCUUGCUGUCACUUAUAGAUGGAUCCGCGCUGCAUUAGCUAGUUGGUAAGGUAACGGCUUACCAAGGCAACGAUGCAUAGCCGACCUGAGAGGGUGAUCGGCCACACUGGAACUGAGACACGGUCCAGACUCCUACGGGAGGCAGCAGUAGGGAAUCUUCCGCAAUGGGCGAAAGCCUGACGGAGCAACGCCGCGUGAGUGAUGAAGGUCUUCGGAUCGUAAAACUCUGUUAUUAGGGAAGAACAUAUGUGUAAGUAACUGUGCACAUCUUGACGGUACCUAAUCAGAAAGCCACGGCUAACUACGUGCCAGCAGCCGCGGUAAUACGUAGGUGGCAAGCGUUAUCCGGAAUUAUUGGGCGUAAAGCGCGCGUAGGCGGUUUUUUAAGUCUGAUGUGAAAGCCCACGGCUCAACCGUGGAGGGUCAUUGGAAACUGGAAAACUUGAGUGCAGAAGAGGAAAGUGGAAUUCCAUGUGUAGCGGUGAAAUGCGCAGAGAUAUGGAGGAACACCAGUGGCGAAGGCGACUUUCUGGUCUGUAACUGACGCUGAUGUGCGAAAGCGUGGGGAUCAAACAGGAUUAGAUACCCUGGUAGUCCACGCCGUAAACGAUGAGUGCUAAGUGUUAGGGGGUUUCCGCCCCUUAGUGCUGCAGCUAACGCAUUAAGCACUCCGCCUGGGGAGUACGACCGCAAGGUUGAAACUCAAAGGAAUUGACGGGGACCCGCACAAGCGGUGGAGCAUGUGGUUUAAUUCGAAGCAACGCGAAGAACCUUACCAAAUCUUGACAUCCUUUGACAACUCUAGAGAUAGAGCUUUCCCCUUCGGGGGACAAAGUGACAGGUGGUGCAUGGUUGUCGUCAGCUCGUGUCGUGAGAUGUUGGGUUAAGUCCCGCAACGAGCGCAACCCUUAAGCUUAGUUGCCAUCAUUAAGUUGGGCACUCUAAGUUGACUGCCGGUGACAAACCGGAGGAAGGUGGGGAUGACGUCAAAUCAUCAUGCCCCUUAUGAUUUGGGCUACACACGUGCUACAAUGGACAAUACAAAGGGCAGCGAAACCGCGAGGUCAAGCAAAUCCCAUAAAGUUGUUCUCAGUUCGGAUUGUAGUCUGCAACUCGACUACAUGAAGCUGGAAUCGCUAGUAAUCGUAGAUCAGCAUGCUACGGUGAAUACGUUCCCGGGUCUUGUACACACCGCCCGUCACACCACGAGAGUUUGUAACACCCGAAGCCGGUGGAGUAACCUUUUAGGAGCUAGCCGUCGAAGGUGGGACAAAUGAUUGGGGUGAAGUCGUAACAAGGUAGCCGUAUCGGAAGGUGCGGCUGGAUCACCUCCUUUCUA
rnacentral:rRNA from 1 species